rnacentral:rRNA from 1 species
GAUGAACGCUGGCGGUGUGCCUAAUACAUGCAAGUCGAGCGAACGGACGAGAAGCUUGCUUCUCUGAUGUUAGCGGCGGACGGGUGAGUAACACGUGGAUAACCUACCUAUAAGACUGGGAUAACUUCGGGAAACCGUAGCUAAUACCGGAUAAUAUUUUGAACCGCAUGGUUCAAAAGUGAAAGACGGUCUUGCUGUCACUUAUAGAUGGAUCCGCGCUGCAUUAGCUAGUUGGUAAGGUAACGGCUUACCAAGGCAACGAUGCAUAGCCGACCUGAGAGUGUGAUCGGCCACACUGGAACUGAGACACGGUCCAGACUCCUACGGGAGGCAGCAGUAGGGAAUCUUCCGCAAUGGGCGAAAGCCUGACGGAGCAACGCCGCGUGAGUGAUGAAGGUCUUCGGAUCGUAAAACUCUGUUAUUAGGGAAGAACAUAUGUGUAAGUAACUGUGCACAUCUUGACGGUACCUAAUCAGAAAGCCACGGCUAACUACGUG